UUGGACAAUGUGCGAAAGCCUGACCCAGCCAUGCCGCGCGUGUGAAGAAGGUGUUCGGACUGUCAAGCCCUUUAAGCUGGGAGGCAGGGCUUUAGGCUACUAGUCUGAAGUUUUGACGUUACAAAUAGAAUAAGCACCGGCUAACCCUGUGCCAGCAGCCGCGGUAAUACAGAGGGUGCAAGCGUUAAUGGGAAUUACUGGGCGUAAAGCGCGCGUAGGUGGUUCAGUAAGAUGGGUGUGAAAUCCCCGGGCUUAACCUGGGAACUGCUUCCAUAACUGCUGAGCUAGAGUACGGUAGAGGGUAGUGGAAUUUCCUGUGUAGCGGUGAAAUGCGUGGAUAUAGGAAGGAACACCAGUGGCGAAGGCGACUACCUGGAUUGAUACUGACACUGAGGUGCGAAAGCGUGGGGGGCAAA
rnacentral:rRNA from 1 species